CAUCAAAGCUAAGCUAACUCAAAUUCUCUUUAUCAUUACAAUUUACUAUCUCACUUCUUGCAAGUUCCAUUCUAUUCUGUCACAGGCCAUCUUUGGGCUGUCAAGUCACAAAGAUGAAAAGAUUGCCCAGGCAACAACCAGCUGUGGCAAUGGCAGUGAGUGCUCUAGGUACUCAGAAUUCACCUUGCUGGCUGGUUAAGAUGCUGCCAAGAAGUAAUUGUGACAGCAAACAGAAAAUGGCAAUCAGAAAAAAAGAAAAAAUGAGGUUCGAAACUCCUCAAUUGAUUAUAUGUCUAUCAGAAUCAUCUGAGUCAAAAGGACAAAGAGAUGCUGGGCAAGAAAAGAGGUGCUCAUUGGUAACAGAUUAAGUGAGGACUAAGCGUGUAUACAAUAAGGGAAGAACAUAUGCUGAGAGACAACCAAAAGCAGAGAAAAAUCACUUCAUCUAAGCUAUCCAAUUAUUAAGGACCGCUUGAUUUCUUUUCAGAUGUCAAAUAAAAUUCCAUCAAAUGUGU